rnacentral:rRNA from 1 species
CUAGCUACAGGCUUAACACAUGCAAGUCGAGGGGCAGCAUGGUCUUAGCUUGCUAAGGCCGAUGGCGACCGGCGCACGGGUGAGUAACACGUAUCCAACCUGCCGUCUACUCUUGGACAGCCUUCUGAAAGGAAGAUUAAUGCAAGAUGGCAUCAUGAGUCCGCAUGUUCACAUGAUUAAAGGUAUUCCGGUAGACGAUGGGGAUGCGUUCCAUUAGAUAGUAGGCGGGGUAACGGCCCACCUAGUCUUCGAUGGAUAGGGGUUCUGAGAGGAAGGUCCCCCCCAUUGGAACUGAGACACGGUCCAAACUCCUACGGGAGGCAGCAGUGAGGAAUAUUGGUCAAUGGGCGAGAGCCUGAACCAGCCAAGUAGCGUGAAGGAUGACUGCCCUAUGGGUUGUAAACUUCUUUUAUAAAGGAAUAAAGUCGGGUAUGGAUACCCGUUUGCAUGUACUUUAUGAAUAAGGAUCGGCUAACUCCGUGCCAGCAGCCGCGGUAAUACGGAGGAUCCGAGCGUUAUCCGGAUUUAUUGGGUUUAAAGGGAGCGUAGAUGGAUGUUUAAGUCAGUUGUGAAAGUUUGCGGCUCAACCGUAAAAUUGCAGUUGAUACUGGAUAUCUUGAGUGCAGUUGAGGCAGGCGGAAUUCGUGGUGUAGCGGUGAAAUGCUUAGAUAUCACGAAGAACUCCGAUUGCGAAGGCAGCCUGCUAAGCUGCAACUGACAUUGAGGCUCGAAAGUGUGGGUAUCAAACAGGAUUAGAUACCCUGGUAGUCCACACGGUAAACGAUGAAUACUCGCUGUUUGCGAUAUACGGCAAGCGGCCAAGCGAAAGCGUUAAGUAUUCCACCUGGGGAGUACGCCGGCAACGGUGAAACUCAAAGGAAUUGACGGGGGCCCGCACAAGCGGAGGAACAUGUGGUUUAAUUCGAUGAUACGCGAGGAACCUUACCCGGGCUUAGAUUGCAGAUGAAUUACGGUGAAAGCCGUAAGCCGCAAGGCAUCUGUGAAGGUGCUGCAUGGUUGUCGUCAGCUCGUGCCGUGAGGUGUCGGCUUAAGUGCCAUAACGAGCGCAACCCUUGUUGUCAGUUACUAACAGGUUCCGCUGAGGACUCUGACAAGACUGCCAUCGUAAGAUGUGAGGAAGGUGGGGAUGACGUCAAAUCAGCACGGCCCUUACGUCCGGGGCUACACACGUGUUACAAUGGGGGGUACAGAGGGCCGCUACCACGCGAGUGGAUGCCAAUCCCCAAAACCUCUCUCAGUUCGGACUGGAGUCUGCAACCCGACUCCACGAAGCUGGAUUCGCUAGUAAUCGCGCAUCAGCCACGGCGCGGUGAAUACGUUCCCGGGCCUUGUACACACCGCCCGUCAAGCCAUGGGAGCCGGGGGUACCUGAAGUGCGUAACCGCGAGGAGCGCCCUAGGGUAAAACUGGUGACUGGG